rnacentral:rRNA from 1 species
UACGGGAGGCAGCAGUAGGGAAUCUUCCGCAAUGGACGAAAGUCUGACGGAGCAACGCCGCGUGAGUGAUGAAGGUUUUCGGAUCGUAAAGCUCUGUUGUUAGGGAAGAACAAGUACCGUUCGAAUAGGGCGGUACCUUGACGGUACCUAACCAGAAAGCCACGGCUAACUACGUGCCAGCAGCCGCGGUAAUACGUAGGUGGCAAGCGUUGUCCGGAAUUAUUGGGCGUAAAGGGCUCGCAGGCGGUUUCUUAAGUCUGAUGUGAAAGCCCCCGGCUCAACCGGGGAGGGUCAUUGGAAACUGGGGAACUUGAGUGCAGAAGAGGAGAGUGGAAUUCCACGUGUAGCGGUGAAAUGCGUAGAGAUGUGGAGGAACACCAGUGGCGAAGGCGACUCUCUGGUCUGUAACUGACGCUGAGGAGCGAAAGCGUGGGGAGCGAACAGGAUUAGAUACCCUGGUAGUCCACGCCGUAAACGAUGAGUGCUAAGUGUUAGGGGGUUUCCGCCCCUUAGUGCUGCAGCUAACGCAUUAAGCACUCCGCCUGGGGAGUACGGUCGCAAGACUGAAACUCAAAGGAAUUGACGG